rnacentral:rRNA from 1 species
UAGGGAAUAUUGGUAAUCUGCGAAAGCGGGAACCAGCAACGCCGCGUGUGAGAUGACGGCCUUCGGGUUGUAAAGCACUUUUUGAGGGGAUGAGGAAGGACAGUACCCUCAGAAUAAGCCUCGGCUAACUACGUGCCAGCAGCCGCGGUAAAACGUAGGAGGCGAGCGUUAUCCGGAUUUACUGGGCGUAAAGCGUGUGUAGGCGGUUUGAUAAGUUGGAUGUGAAAGCUCCUGGCUCAACUGGGAGAGGUCGUUCUAAACUGCCGGACUAGAGGAUGGUAGAGGUAGGUGGAAUUCCGGGUGUAGCGGUGGAAUGCGCAGAUAUCCGGAGGAACACCAGUGGCGAAAGCGGCCUCCUGGACCACUCCUGACACUCAGACGCGAAAGCUAGGGUAGAAAUCG